CUGAGGCUUGACGUGGAAACACUUCGGCAGCUCUUUGGCGGGAGGCUGAAAUAUCUGGGUUACUUGGUGUCACGUUUCCUUUUGUGCACCUUCUGUGGGACUGCUGGAAGCAAAGUGAAGUUAUUGGGGCCUUCAAGACUUUGGUGUUGCCCAGAGCCUUUGCUGGAAGAAUCCCUGAUGUUGAAUCUGAUCACCUAUCAGACCCCCACUGGCCACCACUUUGACUUCCUGACUGGGCAGCAUGUCGCGUACCCGUCAACUAAAUCAUCUCCUUUCAACUGCCCGUGACCAGGUUGGUUUGUUUCAAUAAAGGGCACAAGUGCUACUGCCACUUGACGCGUUCAUAUCAUCAUUCUACCUCCAGCCCUGCACCUUUGUGUCAACACCCCAGGAUUCCUUCUGUCCUGUCCUGUUGACAUAGAGGUAGAGCAGCACGCCAAGCCCAAGUAUCUCCUACACUGAGUGAGCACAUCACACUUAGGGUCCAGGCCCAGUGGGGAGCCCAACACAGGGCUUAAGCUCAAGACCCUGAGAUCAAG